GUCAUAAUGAGGUGAUCGGCAUGUGCCGUGUGGGCAGUGAUGCUGAUGGACCGGGAAGGGAGCACUGGACAGCCAUGCUGGCGAAUCCCCGCAAGCCUAUUGAACACUGGCACCAGCUGGUGGAGGAGAAAUCCAUAAACACAUACGUGUCAAAGAGUGCCACAGCCUCCCCUAAGCCACACAUAGUGGUGGACAGCCCUCACUCUGAGUAGAGAUGUCAGCAUUAUCUUUUUAGCAACAGAAAUACAUUCUUUCUUUUCACCUGUGAAUAAUUAUUCAUCAAGAAAGAACCAGAGAAGAGACUGUGCUUGUGGUAGUGCUAUUCCUCUAAGUCAACCCUGCAGACCCAACACAAUAUAGAGAAAAAUAACUAGACUAGACCAGACACAAAUCACACAGAUACAUCUCCACACACACAUAAACAAACAGACAUAUUCACACAUGGAAUCGUAACAACUGGCAUGGAUGGUUUUGCUUCAGGAAUGAUGUUGAAGUCAAAAUAUGUCAUGAUUUAUUCAGGGGAAAUAUGACAAACAUUCCCACUUUAAAUAGAUCAUCUUUAUUUAGUUAUCUGAAACUGAGCCUACAAAAAAAAAAAGAUUUUAAUUACUUAAAAAACAAAAAAUAAUCAGGAGAGACCUGAUAGCUUAUGGACCACGAAUGUUUCUGUGUAUGUGUGAGCGCAUGUGUGUAUGUGAGUUUGUACGGGUGUCUGUGUGUAGCUAUAGAAAAUCUCUACAAGGUGUUUUCAGUCUGACAAGUAGCUGCGAGUUCUCGGAGUGGUCUUCUCUGCCAAUGCAGAAUCCUUGCAACUGUUUACUGUUUCUCUGGAGAGGAGGACUACUUUAUGACCGUUCCCAUCUGGAGAAGGAGAAAUAAGGACAGAUACAUUGGCCAAAUCGUGUCGUGCAGUAUUGAAAUGUGUCCCUCUGCCUUUUACAUUUUUAUCACCUUCUGCUUGGAGCUCAUUGAGAUCAGCAGUGUUUCCUUUUUUCCUUCGUUUACUAGAGUCCAGCCAUUCUUCUUGUUCUACCAGAUACUGAAUGAAAUGAUUGGAGAAUAUGUUUCCCUGACAUGGACACACUGGCAGACUGAAUCCCACUGAGAACUCUUCCAAAGGGAGCUAUCAUUGAUUUCAAAUAUUGCCAGAGGACCCUAACUGGGACGGACCUUGGAUUUGUGUGCACUUCCUGGAAACAUAUCCUACGGGGAAAAGAUCUGGCCAUAGUAU